rnacentral:rRNA from 1 species
UACAGGGGGGGCAAGCGUUGUUCGGAAUUACUGGGCGUAAAGGGCUCGUAGGUGGCCAACUAAGUCAGACGUGAAAUCCCUCAGCUUAACUGGGGAACUGCGUCUGAUACUGGAUGGCUUGAGUUUGGGAGAGGGAUGCGGAAUUCCAGGUGUAGCGGUGAAAUGCGUAGAUAUCAGGAGGAACACCGGUGGCGAAGGCGGGUCUCUGGGCCGAUAUUGACGCUGAGGAGCGAAAGCGUGGGGAGCGAACAGG